rfam:Ciona savignyi cont_39148, whole genome shotgun sequence.
GUCAGCAGAAGGCAUAGUAGGUGGCCUCUUGCCACUGAAGGCC